rnacentral:rRNA from 1 species
AUUGAACGCUGGCGGCAGGCCUAACACAUGCAAGUCGAGCGAGAGGCGGACGGGUGAGUAAUGUAUGGGGACUGCCCGAUAGAGGGGGAUAACUACUGGAAACGGUGGCUAAUACCGCAUACUAUCGGAUCACCCAUAUGGGAUGAGCUAGUAGUUGGGGUAAAGGCUCACCUGGGAGAAGAUCUCUAGCUGGUCUGAACGGAUGACCAGCCACACUCGGACUGAAACACGUCCCCAACGCCUACGGAGGCGUCAGUGGGUAAUAUUGCACAAUGGGCGCAAUCCUGAUGCAGCCAUGCCGCGUGUAUGAAGAAGGCCUUAGUGUUGUAAAGUACUUUCAGCGGGGAGGCGUUACCCGCAUAAGAAGCACCGGCUAACUCCGUGCCAGCAGCCGCGGUAAUUC